rnacentral:rRNA from 1 species
CAGACUCCUACGGGAGGCAGCAGUGGGGAAUAUUGCACAAUGGGCGCAAGCCUGAUGCAGCCAUGCCGCGUGUGUGAAGAAGGCCUUCGGGUUGUAAAGCACUUUCAGCGGGGAGGAAGGCGGUGAGAUUAAUAACCUCAUCGAUUGACGUUACCCGCAGAAGAAGCACCGGCUAACUCCGUGCCAGCAGCCGCGGUAAUACGGAGGGUGCAAGCGUUAAUCGGAAUUACUGGGCGUAAAGCGCACGCAGGCGGU